AGUUUGCAAACCCAUUGCAAACCCAUAGUUUGCAAAUCAGACUCAAGAAUGAUCUUCAGUAUUGGUGGUUUUGUGUGGGUUUUGUUUGUUAUUUUUAUUUGUUUUUGAGACUUCGUUAUUGGCACAACAGCUUCUGGAAAUCUGUUUCACAGAGAGUAUGGGGGCUUCUUUGGCCAAAUGGAGUGGGUACUUAUGAGUUCGGUCAGUGCCUGAGGGAGCACUCACUUCCUUGCCUGGUCAUAUUUUCAUUGGUGCAGGCUCCGUCUGCUUGGCAGCCACUGUUUGGGCCACAGCCUGUCCGCAGGGUCCUGCUCCUCUCUAAUUUGUUCAGACAUUGUGGUGUGUCUGGCCAUAUCAUUUGUCAUAGGUGUAAAAACAAUCACAACCAAAGCUUAAAGCUGUUGGGAUGAGCAGCUGCCUGGGAAUCACGCUCCUUCCUGCUCUUUCCAAAAAGCCAGGUGCCGCCGGCCAGCAUCCCGCUCCCUUUGACCCGCAGUCUGUGCGGGAAGUAGGCCCGGAGUGGUGCCAGCAGGAGGUGGCCUUAGAAAGGCGGAGACCCAAGGAGCAGAGUGAGUCGGCGUCCAGCUCCACCUGAAAGCGCCAUCUUGUCGCCACUUCCCUCAGGAGCAGCAUGCCCAGCCUCUUGCAUAGGAAGAAGUGGUAAGCUAAGGAGAGAAAUGCAGGGUUCCUAGUACACCAAUUUUCCAACUUUUUCAUCUUGGCCCUGCUUUAAAAUGAUGCAUCUACUGUCUUCAUGCCUCAGCACAGCAGAGAAAACCAUGCUGUGUUCCAGUUUACUUUGAAUGUUUCAGUGAAAAUGAUGAAGCUGAAAAAAUGACGGAGGCCCGUUUUACAUUGCAUUUCUCAGAGUCAUCGCCUCUGCUGCAGAUGGAACAACAGCCAUGGAGAAUGAGGGUCACCUGAAUGUGGAAAAGUUGAGUUGGAGCAAAACUGGCACGGCCAUACUGGAUGGACCUCAGCAUGACCAGGACACAUUUCAGCUCAAAUCCCCUGUGCCAAGAACACAUUCUGCCAAGGACCACCACCUCUUCCCACAACUAGAGCUGGCUUACCAGAGCACCGAUGGACUUGGAUACCUGAGAUAUCUGCUUGGGAUCCCACACUUUCAAGGUCUCUCCUCUGGCCUUCUUCUGGUUCUGCGACUCCUUACAGCGCUGGGAGUUGGUGAUGCCAACAGGACAUACGCUCCCAGAGCCUACCUCUCCCAGAUCACUUUAAAAGGCACCCAGGACCCCAGAAUUCUCAUCCUCAAAGGCAUGGAGCUCAGCUCUUGGCCCUCAACAAAUCUCUUCCCCAUAAAGAUCCUUUUGAGAGCUUAGGAUGUCCCCCGGAUGGUUUUGGUUGCAGAUUGUGGUGGUGGAGGGAGCUAUACAAUUUAAUCUAUUGCCAUUAAUUGGAUGCGCUAAUGGCAGAUUGGGUAGUGAUAAUGCCAUAAGAGGUAGUGUGUGAGCCGUGUGCUGCAUCUGUGCUAGCUCAGGUAAGUCAGCACACAGCACCUGCAGCCUCCUCUCACCUCUUCCCUGAGCAGCACCUUUUCACCUGAACAUGCUGAUCCCCUAGUGCUUCAUCUUGACAGCAACUUAACAAGCCCUGGGCAGCUUUUUAAAAUAAAUGACUAUGAUAUUGACUAUGAAUCUACAUAAAAGCCACUUGUUUUUUAGUCAUAAUCUGUGUCUAACUGCAGAAGAAAUUCACACCUUUGAAAAACAAAUAAAAAUGUAAAAAGUGAAAAUUGUUUGUAACCACAAUAUUCUGAAAUAGAACCUUUUUGUUAGAUCAUUUUCAAGAGGAUUUUUCAUACUUUCCUACAGUAAUACCAAUGUAUAUGCACUUGUAUAAAUUCUUGGUUAAAAUAUUCAUAGGGUGUAUGUGUCUAAAUAUAGAAUCAUACCCUAUUGUACAGUUCUAGUAAAUAGCUAUUUUUUUGCUUUUAACUCAGAAAAUAUAUAUUUGUAUUAUGCUUUACGUUCUGGGAUACAUGUGCGGAACGUGCAGUUUUGUUGCAUUGGUAUAUACGUGCCAUGGUGGUUUGCUGCACCCACCAACCCAUCAUCUACAUUAGGUAUUUCUCCUAAUGCUAUCCCUCCCCUAGCCCCCACUCCCUGACAGGCCCCAGUGUGUGAUGUUCCCCUCCCUGUCUGUGUCCAUGUGUUUGCAUUGUUGAACUCCCACUUAUGAGUGAGAACAUGCAGUGUUUGUACCUGUGUUAGUUUGCUGAGAAUUAUUGUUUCCAGCUUUGUCCAUGUCCCUGCAAAGACAUGAACUCAUCCUUUUUUAUGGCUGCACAGUAUUCCAUUGUGUAUAUGUGCUACAUUUUCUUUAUCGAGUCUAUCAUUGAUGGGCAUUUGGGCUGGUUCAAAGUCUUUGCUAUUGUGAACAGUGCUGCAAUAAACAUAAAGUAUGCAUGUGU
rnacentral:lncRNA from 1 species